AGUGAACGCUGGCGGUGGGCCUAACACAUGCAAGUCGAACGGCAGCACAGUAAGAGCUUGCUCUUACGGGUGGCGAGUGGCGGACGGGUGAGGAAUGCAUCGGAAUCUACUUUUUCGGGGGGGAUAACGUAGGGGAACUUACGCUAAUACCGCAUACGACCUACGGGUGAAAGCAGGGGAUCUUCGCACCUUGCGCGAUUGAAUGAGCCGAUGUCGGAUUAGCUAGUUGGUGGGGUAAAGGCCCACCAAGGCGACGAUCCGUAGCUGGUCUGAGAGGAUGAUCGGCCACACGGGAACUGAGACACGGUCCAGACUCCUACGGGAGGCAGCAGUGGGGAAUAUUGGACAAUGGGCGCAAGCCUGACGCAGCCAUACCGCGUGGGUGAAGAAGGCCUUCGGGUCGUAAAGCCCUUUUGUUGGGAAAGAAAAGCAGCAGGUUAAUACCCCGCUGUUCUGACGGUACCCAAAGAAUAAGCACCGGCUAACUACGUG
rnacentral:rRNA from 1 species